GCGGCGUGCCUAACACAUGCAAGUCGAACGGAGUGAUUCCUUCGGGGAUCACUUAGUGGCGGACGGGUGAGUAACGCGUGAGCAACCUGCCCUUCAGAGGGGGAUAACGUCUGGAAACGGACGCUAAUACCCCAUGACAUCUUUUCAUCACCUGGUGAGAAGAUCAAAGGAGUAACAUCUGCUGAGGGAUGGGCUCGCGUCCGAUUAGUUAGUUGGCGGGGUAAUGGCCCACCAAGACCGCGAUCGGUAGCCGGACUGAGAGGUUGAACGGCCACAUUGGGACUGAGACACGGCCCAGACUCCUACGGGAGGCAGCAGUGGGGGAUAUUGCACAAUGGGCGAAAGCCUGAUGCAGCAACGCCGCGUGAGGGAAGAAGGUUUUCGGAUUGUAAACCUCUGUCUUCGGCGAAGAAUUUUGACGGUAGCCGAGGAGGAAGCCACGGCUAACUACGUGCCAGCAGCCGCGGUAAUACGUAGGUGGCAAGCGUUGUCCGGAAUUACUGGGUGUAAAGGGUGCGCAGGCGGGAUAUCAAGUCGGGCGUGAAAACUAUGGGCUUAACCCAUAGACUGCGUUCGAAACUGAUGUUCUUGAGU
rnacentral:rRNA from 1 species